rnacentral:rRNA from 1 species
AUUGAACGCUGGCGGCAGGCCUAACACAUGCAAGUCGAGCGCGAAAGUUCUUCGGAAUGAGUAAAGCGGCGGACGGGUGAGUAAUACAUGGGAAUCUGCCUGGUAGUGGGGGACAACGUUUCGAAAGGAACGCUAAUACCGCAUACGCCCUACGGGGGAAAGGGGGGAUCUUCGGACCUCUCGCUACCAGAUGAGGCCCA